rnacentral:rRNA from 1 species
AUCAUUAUCGAGUUUGAAAAGGGUUGUAGCUGGUCUUUCACGAGGCAUGUGCACACCCUACUCAUCCACUCAACACCUGUGCACACUAUGUAGGUUUAGAUGAGCAUCGGGGCCCUCGUGCCUCGGUGGGAGUCUGCCUAUGUCUUUAUAAACUCUGUUUAGUAUACGAAUGUACUUGCGAUAAAACGCAUCUUAUACAACUUUCAGCAACGGAUCUCUUGGCUCUCGCAUCGAUGAAGAACGCAGCGAAAUGCGAUAAGUAAUGUGAAUUGCAGAAUUCAGUGAAUCAUCGAAUCUUUGAACGCACCUUGCGCCCCUUGGUAUUCCGAGGGGCACACCCGUUUGAGUGUCGUGAAAUUCUCAACUCAAUCACCUUUGCUGGUGUUUGGGCUUGGACUUGGGGGUUUGCUGGCUUCGGUCGGCUCCCCUUGAAUGCAUUAGCUCGAACCCUUGCGGAUCAGCUAUCGGUGUGAUAAUUGUCUACGCCGUGGUUGUGAUGCCACCUUCGGGUGUUGGAUCGGCUUCUAACCGUCCCCUAGGGACAAUUUCUUUGAACAUUGACCUCAAAUCGGGUGGGACUACCCGC